GUGAGUCAUCGAAUCUUUGAACGCACAUUGCGCCCUCUGGUAUUCCGGGGGGCAUGCCUGUUCGAGCGUCAUUACAACCCUCAAGCUCUGCUUGGUGUUGGGCGCCGCCAUCCGUGGCGCGCCUCAAAGUCAGUGGCGGUGCCGUCUGGCCCCAAGCGUAGUAGUACUCUUCUCGCUUCAGGGGCUCGGGCUCGUGCCGGCCAGCAACCCACACUUACUCAAUGGUUGACCUCGGAUCAGGUAGGGAUACCCGCUGAACUUAAGCAUAUCAAUAAGCGGAGGA
rnacentral:misc_RNA from 1 species